GACGAACGCUGGCGGCGUGCUUAACACAUGCAAGUCGAACGGGCCCGCUCUCUUUUUUGGGGGUGGGUUGAGUGGCGAACGGGUGAGUAUCACGUGAGUAACCUGCCCCCUGCUCCUGGAUAACUGCUUGAAAGGGCGGCUAAUACGGGGUGUGCCGGCUGGUCCGCAUGGGCCUGGUCGGGAUAGUUUCAUCUUCGGGUGUUUCGGUGGGGGAUGGGCUCGCGGCCUAUCAGCUUGUUGGUGGGGUGAUGGCCCACCAAGGCGGUGACGGGUAGCCGGCCGGAGAGGGUGGGCGGCCACGCUGGGACUGAGACACGGCCCAGACUCCUGCGGGAGGCAGCGGUGGGGGGUAUUGCACAAUGGGCGGAAGCCUGAUGCAGCGACGUCGCGUGAGGGAUGGAGGCCUUCGGGUUGUGAACCUCUUUCUCCGGUGGUGAAGGCCCUGUCCGUUGCGGCGGGGUUGACGGUAGCCGGGUAUGAAGCGCCGGCUAACUACGUG
rnacentral:rRNA from 1 species